GUGGGCUGGCUGGUGCAUGAAGGUAUUUUUAUUUAAUUGUGUCCAUCAGUAUUUUCUUGAUCAGGAUCUCAUUUUCAACUUCAAAUUUGCUUCACGAAUUUUGUCACUGAAGGAGGUUAUAUUUUUCUAAGAUCUUGGGUUAAAUUAUAAACUAUUAAAAUUGGACUAUUUUUUCUGAGUUCAGAUGUUAAAAAAGUGAUGAUCUCUCUUUAUGAACAUCAAGGCAUUUAAUGAAAAUGAAAAUGAAAAUAUUCCAUUCUAUUUAUUAGCAUUUGAAUCUUUCUUUAGGGAACACCCUCUUUGUAUUUCUUACCUAGCAGCAUUUACAUUUCUCACAUUGCACAAAAGCUCUCUUGCCGUUGGACUUGGAAUAUUAGAUAUCAUGUGUUAUGGAUGCCAAUAUUAGUGAAUUAAAACAAAUAAUUCAUUGUUUUUGGAUGAUGAUCUAAAGAGAUAUUCUGAAUACUUUCAUUAUCAAAUUAUUGUUGCUUCUCAAUUUGUUCCAAUUGCAUUUUGUCAAAGUCAAGUUGCUGGUGAUAUGAUAUCGUGCUGGUUAGUUCAUAUCUAGUGAUUAAACUCAUUUUUGCUGAAUUACUGAACUUUGUAGGUGAUAUGUGACCACAUGG
rnacentral:misc_RNA from 1 species